CGAAGGUCCAAGCGUUACUCGGAAUUACUGGGGCGUAAAGCGCGCGUAGGCGGCUUUGUAUGUCGAUUGUGAAAUCCCAGGGCUCAACCCUGGAACUGCAGUCGAAACUGCAAAGCUUGAAUGUUGGAGAGGUUGGGGGAAUACCUAGUGGAGAAGUGAAAUUCGUAGAGAUUAGGUGGAACACCAGAGGCGAAGGCGCCUGACUGGCCAAAACAUUGACGCUAAAGGCGCGAAAAGCGUGGGUAGCAAAACAGGAUU
rnacentral:rRNA from 1 species